UACAGAGGGUGCGAGCGUUGUCCGGAAUCACUGGGCGUAAAGCGUGCGCAGACGGUUGCGUAAGUCAGAUGUGAAAGCCCCGGGCUCAACCUGGGAAUUGCAUUUGAGACUGCGUAGCUAGGGUGCGGAAGAGGGAAGCGGAAUUUCCGGUGUAGCGGUGAAAUGCGUAGAUAUCGGAAGGAACACCAGUGGCGAAAGCGGCUUCCUGGUCCAGCACCGACGUUCAGGCACGAAAGCGUGGGGAGCAAACAGG
rnacentral:rRNA from 1 species